UCCUACGGGAGGCAGCAGUAGGGAAUCUUCGGCAAUGGACGAAAGUCUGACCGAGCAACGCCGCGUGAGUGAAGAAGGUUUUCGGAUCGUAAAACUCUGUUGUUAGAGAAGAACAAGGAUGAGAGUAACUGUUCAUCCCUUGACGGUAUCUAACCAGAAAGCCACGGCUAACUACGUGCCAGCAGCCGCGGUAA
rnacentral:rRNA from 1 species